rnacentral:rRNA from 1 species
UCGAGGAUCUUUCGCAAUGCCCGAAAGGGUGACGAAGCGACGCCGCGUGUGGGAAGAAGGCCUUCGGGUUGUAAACCACUGUCGGGAGUUAGGAAAUGCAGGUGCGUUAAUAGCGCACUUGCUUGACUAAGGCUCCAGAGGAAGCCACGGCUAACUCUGUGCCAGCAGCCGCGGUAAUACAGAGGCGGCAAGCGUUGUUCGGAAUUAUUGGGCGUAAAGAGCACGUAGGCGGCCUUGCAAGUCAGUUGUGAAAGCCUUCCGCUUAACGGAAGAACGGCAUCUGAUACUACAGGGCUUGAGUACGGGAGGGGAGAGUGGAACUUCUGGUGGAGCGGUGAAAUGCGUAGAUAUCAGAAGGAACGCCGGCGGCGAAAGCGACUCUCUGGUCCGAAACUGACGCUGAGUGUGCGAAAGCUAGGGGAGCAAACGGGAUUAGAUACCCCGGUAGUCCUAGCCGUAAACGAUGGGCACUAAGUAGAGGGGUUUUGAUUAUUUCUCUGCCGGAGCUAACGCAUUAAGUGCCCCGCCUGGGGAGUACGGCCGCAAGGCUAAAACUCAAAAGAAUUGACGGGGGCUCGCACAAGCGGUGGAGCAUGUGGCUUAAUUCGAUGCAACGCGAAGAACCUUACCGGGGCUUGACAUGGUAGAAGUAGAAUCCUGAAAGGGUGACGAUCGGUAUCCAGUCCGAAGCUAUCACAGGUGUUGCAUGGCUGUCGUCAGCUCGUGUCGUGAGACGUUGGGUUAAGUCCCCUAACGAGCGAAACCCUUGUCUUUAGUUGCUAACGGGUAAUGCUGAGCACUUUAGAGAGACUGCCGUCGUUAAGACGGAGGAAGGUGGGGACGACGUCAAGUCAUCAUGGCCCUUAUGUCCCGGGCUGCACACGUGCUACAAUGGUCGGUACAAAGGGAUGCUAAGUCGCGAGAUGGUGCGAAACCUAUAAAGCCGAUCUCAGUUCAGAUUGGAGGCUGAAACUCGCCUCCAUGAAGUUGGAAUCGCUAGUAAUCGCGGAUCAGCUACGCCGCGGUGAAUAUGUUCCCGAGCCUUGUACACACCGCUCGUCAAGCCACCCAAGCAAGAUGCACCCAAAAUCGCCUGCCUAACCCGUAAGGGAGGGAAGUGCCUAAGGUGUGUUUUGUGAGGAGGACUAAGUCGUAACAAGGUAGUCGUAGGAGAACC